UGGUUCUCCCCGAAAGCUAUUUAGGUAGCGCCUCGUGAAUUCAUCUCCGGGGGUAGAGCACUGUUUCGGCAAGGGGGUCAUCCCGACUUACCAACCCGAUGCAAACUGCGAAUACCGGAGAAUGUUAUCACGGGAGACACACGGCGGGUGCUAACGUCCGUCGUGAAGAGGGAAACAACCCAGACCGCCAGCUAAGGUCCCAAAGUCAUGGUUAAGUGGGAAACGAUGUGGGAAGGCCCAGACAGCCAGGAUGUUGGCUUAGAAGCAGCCAUCAUUUAAAGAAAGCGUAAUAGCUCACUGGUCGAGUCGGCCUGCGCGGAAGAUGUAACGGGGCUAAACCAUGCACCGAAGCUGCGGCAGCGACACUGUGUGUUGUUGGGUAGGGGAGCGUUCUGUAAGCCUGUGAAGGUGUGCUGUGAGGCAUGCUGGAGGUAUCAGAAGUGCGAAUGCUGACAUAAGUAACGAUAAAGCGGGUGAAAAGCCCGCUCGCCGGAAGACCAAGGGUUCCUGUCCAACGUUAAUCGGGGCAGGGUGAGUCGACCCCUAAGGCGAGGCCGAAAGGCGUAGUCGAUGGGAAACAGGUUAAUAUUCCUGUACUUGGUGUUACUGCGAAGGGGGGACGGAGAAGGCUAUGUUGGCCGGGCGACGGUUGUCCCGGUUUAAGCGUGUAGGCUGGUUUUCCAGGCAAAUCCGGAAAAUCAAGGCUGAGGCGUGAUGACGAGGCACUACGGUGCUGAAGCAACAAAUGCCCUGCUUCCAGGAAAAGCCUCUAAGCAUCAGGUAACAUCAAAUCGUACCCCAAACCGACACAGGUGGUCAGGUAGAGAAUACCAAGGCGCUUGAGAGAACUCGGGUGAAGGAACUAGGCAAAAUGGUGCCGUAACUUCGGGAGAAGGCACGCUGAUAUGUAGGUGAAGUCCCUCGCGGAUGGAGCUGAAAUCAGUCGAAGAUACCAGCUGGCUGCAACUGUUUAUUAAAAACACAGCACUGUGCAAACACGAAAGUGGACGUAUACGGUGUGACGCCUGCCCGGUGCCGGAAGGUUAAUUGAUGGGGUCAGCGCAAGCGAAGCUCUUGAUCGAAGCCCCGGUAAACGGCGGCCGUAACUAUAACGGUCCUAAGGUAGCGAAAUUCCUUGUCGGGUAAGUUCCGACCUGCACGAAUGGCGUAAUGAUGGCCAGGCUGUCUCCACCCGAGACUCAGUGAAAUUGAACUCGCUGUGAAGAUGCAGUGUACCCGCGGCAAGACGGAAAGACCCCGUGAACCUUUACUAUAGCUUGACACUGAACAUUGAGCCUUGAUGUGUAGGAUAGGUGGGAGGCUUUGAAGUGUGGACGCCAGUCUGCAUGGAGCCGACCUUGAAAUACCACCCUUUAAUGUUUGAUGUUCUAACGUGGACCCGUGAUCCGGGUUGCGGACAGUGUCUGGUGGGUAGUUUGACUGGGGCGGUCUCCUCCUAAAGAGUAACGGAGGAGCACGAAGGUUGGCUAAUCCUGGUCGGACAUCAGGAGGUUAGUGCAAUGGCAUAAGCCAGCUUGACUGCGAGCGUGACGGCGCGAGCAGGUGCGAAAGCAGGUCAUAGUGAUCCGGUGGUUCUGAAUGGAAGGGCCAUCGCUCAACGGAUAAAAGGUACUCCGGGGAUAACAGGCUGAUACCGCCCAAGAGUUCAUAUCGACGGCGGUGUUUGGCACCUCGAUGUCGGCUCAUCACAUCCUGGGGCUGAAGUAGGUCCCAAGGGUAUGGCUGUUCGCCAUUUAAAGUGGUACGCGAGCUGGGUUUAGAACGUCGUGAGACAGUUCGGUCCCUAUCUGCCGUGGGCGCUGGAGAACUGAGGGGGGCUGCUCCUAGUACGAGAGGACCGGAGUGGACGCAUCACUGGUGUUCGGGUUGUCAUGCCAAUGGCACUGCCCGGUAGCUAAAUGCGGAAGAGAUAAGUGCUGAAAGCAUCUAAGCACGAAACUUGCCCCGAGAUGAGUUCUCCCUGACCCUUUAAGGGUCCUGAAGGAACGUUGAAGACGACGACGUUGAUAGGCCGGGUGUGUAAGCGCAGCGAUGCGUUGAGCUAACCGGUACUAAUGAACCGUGAGGCUUAACCUUACAACGCCGA
rnacentral:rRNA from 1 species